GCCUGGGUGGCUCAGUUGGUUGAGCAUCUGACUUCGGCUCAGGUCAUGAAGUCGUGGGUUCAAACCCCACAUCAGGCU